rnacentral:rRNA from 1 species
GUGCCAGCAGCCGCGGUAAAACGUAGGAGGCAAGCGUUAUCCGGAUUUACUGGGCGUAAAGGGCGUGCAGGUGGUUCAGUAAGUGGUGCGUGAAAGCGCUCGGCUCAACCGGGCGAGGGCGUGCCAAACUGCUCAACUAGAAACAGGCAGAGGAACAUGGAAUUCGGGGUGUAGUGGUGAAAUGCGUAGAGAUCCCGAGGAACUCCAGUGGCGAAGGCGAUGUUCUGGGCCUGGUUUGACACUCAGACGCGAAAGCAUGGGGAGCGAACGGGAUUAGAAACCCCCGUAGUCC